CACCCUCGUUCCCCUCAAUCCAAACAAGCCCUUUAUCUCCACUUUCUCUCAGAAACCGUCCUUCAAAAUUGCCCCCUUCUCUCAGAAUCCCCCACCUCUCACUCAGAAGGCCACGAUCGCGACCCGCUGCCGCCUCGAAAGCCGACAGCAGCCACCCAACUCUGCCCACCCACCGCUCGAAUCCAUCCCAUCCCCGCCACCGCUGGCCACCAUCACUGAUCCUCCCUCGAUUCAAAAGGUAAUUUCUCGCAGGAUCUAGGAAGCAAAUUUCGGCCCGUUCGAAGCCGUCGACAGCCACCCACCCGCCGUUCGAAUCCACCCCAUCCCCGCCGCCACCGUCACUGAUCCUCCCUCUAAUCGAAAGUUAAAAAAAGGUGAUAUUUUUGGAAUUCGAGUAGGACGGAGAAGAGAAUGUCAGAAUUAGGGUUAGCGUUUGAAGAAGAGAGGAUGAAGAAGAAGCAGCAACAACAUCAAUAGUACAAGCUCCAUUCUACAACUACGGCAAUGGUUUGCAUGAGGAGGAAGUGUUAUUACUCUAUGAUUCCCUUUUUCGAGGUUGUACAACUAGGUGGGAAAGAUAUGCUUGCAAUGCUUCAUAUUGGCUUGCAGAAGUGCAGGAAAAUUGAAUGAUUUUCGAAAAAGAAGGAAGUGAAGAAGGAGACAUGACUUGGCUUGACUUUCGAAAAGGAUGAGAACUUUGAUUUCUGUUGUUGUUUUAGGUGGUUGUUAAUGGGGACAUGAUUGAAUACUAUGACGUCUCUGGAUGCUAUAUUCUACGGCCUUGGACAAUGGCUAUUUAGGAGACCAUGCAAGUUAGUUGUUAAGUGUGGAGUUUGUUUUUUAUUUUAUUUUAACAACGAUCAUGUUUACUAUGAUUCUGGUCACCUUCUCUGCUUUGCUAAUGCAAUAGGUUAUUGACAAACAUUUA